AGAAUGCCAGGCAAUAAGAGAUCAGAAAGCUGGUUCCACUUCAUCUUGGAGAUGGAGGAAAGCUUGCCAGAACAACUGCACACCCCAUCCACUCCUCAUGUUCUCAGUUUGUUCUUCUCUGUGAUACAACCAGCAUCACGAGAACAGCCAGCAGCAGCUCCAGCGUGAUAAAAUUUUCACUCCUUGACAAGUGUAAGAAGCCGGAAAACUGUGCCCAGCCAGAAGUUUUGUGUCGCCCCUUUGAGAUGCUGUCUAACCUCCACGAGCUGCUUCCGAAUCACCUGAUGGAGACGCUUUAUUCCCGCAAGAGUGAAGAGGACAAGAAAAAAUGUGAGAAUCCUGAACUCUCUGGCUUAGAAAGAAUCUUAGCAAGACAUCAGUUGCCAAAAGAGAUUAAUCUGACCCCAAAGCCGAACAGAAUGCCCCCGUGGAAAAGAAAAAUCAUCAACAAUGUAACUGACGGGUGGAAGAAAUGUCACUUGUUGAAGAGAAACACGAAAGAGCCUCCAAUGUCCACCAUAGUUGUCAGUGUUACAGGUUGGAGUCUCAAGCGCUGAGAUAGAAAUAAGAAUGCAAAAGG
ensembl:lncRNA TEX56P testis expressed 56, pseudogene